CCUCUCAGCCAGAGCCAACAACCUGGCCUGUACUUCGCCUCGUGAUUUUUUUUGUCAAUAUCUUACUGUUUAAACGUUCAAAUCCCUUAGAGGGAGUAAAUCACAUUUAAGUUUUAUGUUUUUUCUAAGAUAGGUGUUAGAAGGAAAACCCAUUCAUUUGUUUCACAAAGACUGAGAGGUUGUGUGCCAGGCAUUGAUUUAGGGUCAUGGAAUUAAUCAGAGAACAAGUGGAGGAUUGGGACAAAGUGGGAGGGCAGAGUGGAGACAGAAGGCCAGAGAAGAAGAGUUAGAAAGGGGGCUUCUGCACGAGUCUAUCAAAAGCUCUUAGACCACGGCGGUAGCAGUGGAGGAGGUAGUAUGAAACAUAUGCUUUAAAUAUGAGAGUCAAUGGACCUGCUAACGGCUGUGAACUUGGAGGCCACCAGCCGCGAGAUUUAAGUAAAGCCGUAGAUGUGCUCCCACAGCAGAUUGGAGAUAGGUAGGAGAAUUUAGGUCUGAGGUAUUGGUAACUAACCCCAUCCUUUUCCUCACCCUAUUUUUCUGUAAGGAACUUCUCACCAAAAAGCGUCUAACUCAAUACCCGUACUGAAACCCACACAGCUAACUACAAGUAUUACGAAAAGGAGUACCAAUAAACCCAGCGAUGAUUUCUGUUUUUCAACUUCCAAAGUAGCCUUGUAAAAACAAGGCCUCAAAAAAUUGGCUAUAGACUCAUAACUGUUUCUCUCCACGGAAAUCUUUAGUAAAAGGCGAAAGAUUUAUGCGAUCUGAAGAGAAACCAGAGUGUAUCUGUUUGUUUCCGCUUGGAAGCUUCCAGAGCAACACAACACUCAGCACACUUGUGGUUGUUCAGUGCCUGCGCAGUUCGCACUCCCGGCAUGGAAUACAUAUAGACCUCAUCUUUCUAACGGGCAACCUGCCCCACAGCAGUGGACAGACCUCCAUGCGGCUGGAACUCAAGCGUCGUAAAACUAUCUUUUCGUGGUGCAUCAUGGGUAUGGAGAUUGUAGGCGGCACAGUGCUAGUCCGAGACCCCGGCUGCCCGGGGCGGGGCGGCGCCGCGGGGUCCCCUAGGCCGCGCGGCUCUGUUUCUUCUCAGCCGGUCUGCCCGGGAACCCCCGCGUUACCUGGAUAGGUGCUUGAUAAAUAUGUGUGCAAUACCGAUCGGCCAGCCCCCACCCAGGGCCUGUGCUCUCACCAGAGCCACGUGGACGGUGAACUCCACACCAAUGCCUACAGAGGCCACGAGGAUCACCACGGGGAUGGCGCUCAGCUUGAUGCCCAGGAAACCCAUGAUGCCGAAGAGCUCCAUGGUCAUCAUCGCCAGGACCAGCACCUGGGGAGGGAAGGGCUCACCCUGGGCUCCUGGGGCACCGGGGGUGGGACGGGCAAGGCGGGGAGCCACAGGUCUCUCAGACCUGGCCCUGUGAAGACUCACUAUGAGGCCGGCAGUCCAGGGGUUGAGCAGCAGGAGGGCACAGACCAGAAAAGUGCCCACCAGCAGGACGCAGACAGCCAGCAGGAAGCAGCGCCGCAGGCCCAGAUACUGCUCCCAGAAGAGGAAGGGGGAGCCACUGGGCCCUCUGCCAACCUGGCUGAAAUCCAGAGGCUCCUGGUCAUCUCCCGUCUGGAUGAGCAGCUUGUAGGCCAAGGCCCCAUCCUCAGAGCCAUUGCGGUACGAGUGGCGGGUAAUGCGGCCAGAAGCCCAGUCCUGGUCAAAUGCAGCCUGGAUUCCUAGGGGACAGAACGAUGCGGCAACUGAGGCACAAAGUUAAUUACCAGACCCGGUGCUGAACUGCCUCAGGUGAGCCAGCCUGGAGGAUGAGGCCUCACCUGGAGACUGGUGUCUGGGGGAGCCUCUGUGAAGGCAUGUGCCAGCAGGAAUAUGUCAUCCACGCCGAUGCCCAGUGCGAGAAAGGGCAGCACCUGGAGGGGCACAGGGGUGGGCAGCUAGAGGAGCCGCGGAGUCCAGGCUGUGGGCACCCAAGUCUGCCCUGCAGCCCUGCUGUA